UAGAAAGUAGUGUAAUGGAUGCACGAAGAGUUUUGAUCUCUUUAGAUAGGGUUCAACACCCUUCUUUUUAA
rnacentral:tRNA from 1 species